rnacentral:lncRNA from 1 species
GACCGGAUUGGAGGCUUAGGUGCCCUCUUCAAACUAGUUAGGAGCUGUCUAGUGAUUUUAGGGUGAACUUAAGGAAUUAAUGUGUUUUUCUUUUUAGUGCAUGCUUGACUGUAUUUGACUAAUCAGAGGAGUCUUAGUGUAUGCUAGGGUGUCGUUCCAGGUCUCCUGAAUUAGUACAUUUUGACCCUGAAAUAGAGCGUUCUAUUAGGACCCUUCGAGCCGAAAUCCGGACCUAUAGAACCAUAGGAUCUACACCACUUGUCGAGAUGGCUGAAGAGCAACCCAAACUGUUAAAGG